rnacentral:lncRNA from 1 species
CAUUAUGAAAAACUGAACACAUUUAUUCAAUUUCCAACAAUCACCAAUUAGAAAUGGGCUUAAAUGACAAUACAAAGAAAGCUAUAAGCAAACAUUUUGACAGGGGGAUGUGAAGAAUUAGAACAAACUGCUUAGGAAACUACAGUGUGUGCCUGUGUUUGUGUCGUGUGUGUGUGUGUGUGUGUGUGUGUGUGCAGAUACUGUCUCUUUACACACAGAAGUACAAUGCUUGCAUCUUGGUACACAGACUUUGUGAUAGGUUUUUUUCCUUGUCAUGAGCCUUUUUGCCAUGAAGGAGCCAGUAUGGGAAAGUGGUUAAGAACAUGAGAUCUUAAGUCAAAUUCCUGGGGUCUGAAUCCCGACUCUCCAUCAUUAGUUGUGUGACACAUGCAAAGGACUUAUCACUGAGAAUGGCACAUG